rnacentral:rRNA from 1 species
ACGGGUGAGUAACGCGUGGGAACGUGCCUUCCGGUUCGGAAUAACCCUGGGAAACUAGGGCUAAUACCGGAUACGCCCUUAUGGGGAAAGGUUUACUGUCGGAAGAUCGGCCCGCGUCUGAUUAGCUAGUUGGUGGGGUAACGGCCUACCAAGGCGACGAUCAGUAGCUGGUCUGAGAGGAUGAUCAGCCACACUGGGACUGAGACACGGCCCAGACUCCUACGGGAGGCAGCAGUGGGGAAUAUUGGACAAUGGGCGCAAGCCUGAUCCAGCCAUGCCGCGUGAGUGAUGAAGGCCUUAGGGUUGUAAAGCUCUUUUAUCCGGGACGAUAAUGACGGUACCGGAGGAAUAAGCCCCGGCUAACUUCGUGCCAGCAGCCGCGGUAAUACGAAGGGGGCUAGCGUUGCUCGGAAUCACUGGGCGUAAAGGGCGCGUAGGCGGCGUUUUAAGUCGGGGGUGAAAGCCUGUGGCUCAACCACAGAAUGGCCUUCGAUACUGGGACGCUUGAGUAUGGUAGAGGUUGGUGGAACUGCGAGUGUAGAGGUGAAAUUCGUAGA